rnacentral:tRNA from 1 species
GAUGCUGUCCGUUGUAGCACGUCUAUUCCAGAUCGAGAAGGUCAGGGGUUCGAUUCCCCUUAGCUCCACCA